AGGAGGAACAACCGCAGUGGCGGGGCCAGCUCUGCAGCUCUGGAGUCAGCUCCCGCAGUAGCUCCAGAGCUCUCCGUCUGCAGGGCCUGGAGGCUCCGGGGCGGG
rfam:Canis lupus familiaris chromosome 19, whole genome shotgun sequence.